CCUCUCCGCUGUCCUUAAAGGGGCCGCGCGGGACGCCGCGGUGGCGCGCGGCCGGGGUGUGGGGAGCCUGAGGCGGCGGCGGCCGGCAGCCGUAGGGGGAAGGCACGGCGGAGGGAGCCGGUUUGUUUUUAAACUCUGCCUCCGCUCGUCGUCUUGCGCUCUGGUUCCUCCGAGUUGUUUAUUCCAUUUUCCUCUUCCUGAGACGGCCGCUGCCUCUGCGCGUGCGCGCGCGGGGCGCGGGGGCUUGUGGGUAAAGGCCUGGCCCGGGCGGCAGGCGUGGCCCCCCGGGGGCAUCCGCGAGCUGCCCGGGAGGCCGUUGGUCCAGCUGAAGCCCCUUUGGUGCGUGGUCUUCCACUCGUCGCGGGUCGGGUGCUGAGGUUUCACGAGGCGGGAUGCCUUCCUUGAGCCAGGUGCUUGUGAGCUUUGAAGUGAAAAGACAAAAUUGACAGCCCGUCACUGGUCCUUUGAGGGGGACGCGGCCCAGCCUGGCUCCCCGGAGAGUUUUCGUUCCGCCCGCCACGUUUCCUCUCCCUCUUCCCUUUUGCCCACCAACACCCUAUUUUUUUUUUUUUUUUGUACUCCCCCUCGAAGGUGAUGGCACUUCUGGCCAGAUAUCCUUAGGUUCUGGGCGCUUUGUCAAAAAAUGGAGCCAGAAUCGUUGAUGUCAACACACCCCCUGCUUACAGCAGCACCUGUUUCCUCCGCUUGGACGGCCCUCCUUGAUUUUUUUUUUUUUUUUUCUUUUGAAAAAUAAGAUGCCACCUGGGACAGUGCUGCCUAGGCAGCACGGGAAGACCCAUUUCCAAACGUGCUUGAAUGCUUUCCUACUCUGUAUUCGAAAUUCACUUUUUUAAAAUUUUUCCCUCAUUAGUUUCCAAUUUACUCCACUAUUUUCCCCCCUAAGGGGAGAGGCGCUAAGACAUUUUGAAGACCAUCAAUGAAGUGAAAAUUGAUUUUAACGUUUUAGUUUUUUCUCUGCAAGAUUUUCUCAAAAGACAAAUCCGUGUUCUGAAAAGGACGGGUGUGGGCGGUAUUUAAGGAGUUGUGGCAACCUGGCGAAGUCACAGAAGCAUGGAUAUAAACAAAAGUGCCACUGCAGAAAGGGUGAGAUGCAUGCUGUAGAUGACAAUCUGGUAAGCCUAGUGAUGUUGCCUAGCUAAGUUCUAAGCUGAUACCUUUCUAUGUGAAAGCAGUUUUCACUCAUUUAAAUAUUGAACAAGUAUUUGUUGGUGUUUAUUACAUGUACCAGUGACUGGAAAGAAGCUGGGUACGAGUGAACAAGAUGCAGUCGUACCUGAAUUCAGAAGGCUUGUUUAUCCUCUUGCUAGUGAAGUGAAAGAUAGAGGCAGGUGUAAAUUAGGGUGUCUAAUGCCACCUUAAUAUCUAAUGACACCGAAUCAGCUGUCAGAGAGGACUUAAAGAUGUUGGACUACCCAGAGAAAAGUGAUAGAACAGCAGCAUCCUCCAGUUCAGAUCUGCAUUGGAAACUCAGUUGCCUCUCUGUGCCUCAUUUGUACAUCUGAGAUAAAAGUAUCAAUUUUGUAAUGAUGCAUUUUAAUGUCUGUGUGUGGGGAAAAAAUCAUUAGGGCUUAGCAAUUCCCUGUUAUUGUUACUAGGUAUGUAGAGAAAAGAGUGGAGAGCAUGCUGGACAAAUCAGACAGCUUGUGAAGGAGGCCUUGGGGUGAAACAAGUUAGGUUGUUGGGAGAUUAGUGAUAGCAGAUGGCUGAGCAGAAUCCACAGAAGUCCUUUUCAGGCCAUGACUUACCUGGUAACAACUUGUGCUGUUUAUGUUGUGUUUCACUAUUGGGAAAUUAACUUGCAUGUCUUAAUAGCUUGACAAGGAAGAUGGUAUGUAUAGUGAGAUAACAGGGGUUUGAUGAAUUCAUGCCAUGCUCAACAUACUGUUAAAACUAACGUUAAUGAGAAUCUACCAUGUAUUACAUACCAAGCAAGAUCUGUGCUAGGCUCUGACAUACAGUGUAUGUAAGAUAUGGCCUCAGGAUGUUUCGGUUGUGGGAACCCAUAGUGACUCCUCUUGUGUCUUUAUUCCAUCUUGACUUAAGAUUAGACAGUUCUCGUUUGUUUUCACUCCUUCAAGAUCAAUCAUUGGAUCUUUGGACUAAAGUGUAGUUGCUGUAUGUCUUCCUUAGAUAACAGGAUGCUUAGCCAAGGAUGUGACUGCUGGAUAUUUUGCUUCUUAAAACAUAAUAACAGGAUGUUUGAGCUAUUAGAUGUUUCGAGUGUUCUUUGUAUCAUGGGGGGAAGUCUUUUUGGCCUCCCCCUUUUGCUUGGGGUAUAAAGGGGAUAUGAAAAAUAAACUAGGGGCAGAUUCAGUAUUCACUGGAAUGCCCUCCUGACUCUAUCCUGUGUGUGUCUUUUCUUUAGUAUCUUUAAUUUUCUACCUGCCAUUUCUCAAUCCACACUCCUCCUUUCAAGCACAGACCAACAGAUAGCACCGUGGACUUUGGGGCUUGAAUAUAGAGGAUAAAGUGAUGGACACUGCAGUGUGAAGAGAGCUCUCUUGGAUAAAAGUGAAGUUCAUUGAGCAAAACUCAGGAGUAAAAAUUGUAAAUAAUUGUGGACAUGAGACAAGGAAGAACAGUUUUUGAUUGUACAUUCACUUAGAGAUAUUCUGAAGACCAGGGGAGCUAAAGUAAACUGCAAAUACAGAAAUUUUUAGAGUUUAUAAAGCAGAUAUGCCCUUGGUUUCCAGAGCACAGAACUUUGGAUCCAGACACAUGGGCAAGAAUUGGGGUGAAAAUCCAACAACAUGAGUAUGGGCAUGGAAGCGUCCCAAUAGAUGCCUUUAGGCUGUGAGUGCUUAUACAGGCACACCUAGAAUCAGGC
rnacentral:lncRNA from 1 species